AUCGAUGAAGAACGCAGCGAAAUGCGAUAAGUAAUGUGAAUUGCAGAAUUCAGUGAAUCAUCGAAUCUUUGAACGCACAUUGCGCCCCCUGGUAUUCCGGGGGGCAUGCCUGUUCGAGCGUCAUUACAACCCUCAAGCUCUGCUUGGUAUUGGGUGUCACCCCCGGGUGCGCCUUAAAAUCAGUGGCGGUGCCGUCUGGCUUCAAGCGUAGUAAUACUUCUCGCUUUGGAGUCCGGGCGAGCGUCCUGCCAAAACCCCCAUAUUUUUUCAGGUUGACCUCGGAUCAGGUAGGGAUACCCGCUGAACUUAAGCAUAUCAAUAAGCGGAGGAAAAGAAACCAACAGGGAUUGCCUCAGUAACGGCGAGUGAAGCGGCAACAGCUCAAAUUUGAAAUCUGGCUCUUUCAGGGUCCGAGUUGUAAUUUGUAGAGGAUGUUUCGGGUGUGGCUCCGGUCUAAGUUCCUUGGAACAGGACGUCAUAGAGGGUGAGAAUCCCGUAUGUGACUGGUAGCCUAUGCUCAUGUGAAACUCCUUCGACGAGUCGAGUUGUUUGGGAAUGCAGCUCAAAAUGGGUGGUAAAUUUCAUCUAAAGCUAAAUAUUGGCCAGAGACCGAUAGCGCACAAGUAGAGUGAUCGAAAGAUGAAAAGCACUUUGGAAAGAGAGUUAAACAGUACGUGAAAUUGUUGAAAGGGAAGCGCUUGCAACCAGACUUGCAUGUAGCUGAUCAACCGGUGUUCUCACCGGUGCACUCAGUUACGUUCAGGCCAGCAUCGGUUUUGACGGUUGGAUAAAGGCCUUGGGAAUGUAGCUUCUUUCGGGGAGUGUUAUAGCCCAGGGUGCAAUGCAGCCUGUUGGGACCGAGGACCGCGCUUCGGCUAGGAUGCUGGCGUAAUGGUUGUAAGCGACCCGUCUUGAAACACGG
rnacentral:rRNA from 1 species